CAGUCGAGCGGAGACAGUGAGUAGCUUGCUAUGAGCUGUUUUAGCGGCGGACGGGUGAGUAACGCGUGAGCAACCUUUCCCAGACAGGGGAAUAACACACCGAAAGGUGUACUAAUACCGCAUAAGACCACGGGAUCACAUGGUUCUGAGGUAAAAGAUUUAUCGGUUUGGGGUGGGCUCGCGUCCGAUUAGGUAGUUGGUGAGGUAACGGCCCACCAAGCCGACGAUCGGUAGCCGACCUGAGAGGGUGAUCGGCCACAUUGGGACUGAGACACGGCCCAAACUCCUACGGGAGGCAGCAGAGGGGAAUAUUGGGCAAUGGAGGAAACUCUGACCCAGCAACGCCGCGUGGAGGAAGAAGGUUUUCGGACCGUAAACUCCUGUCCUUGGAGACGAGUAGAAGACGGUAUCCAAGGAGGAAGCCCCGGCUAACUACGUGCCAGCAGCCGCGGUAAUACGUAGGGGGCAAGCGUUGUCCGGAAUAAUUGGGCGUAAAGGGCGCGUAGGCGGCUCGGUAAGUCUGGAGUGAAAGUCCUGCUUUUAAGGUGGGAAUUGCUUUGGAUACUGUCGGGCUUGAGUGCAGGAGAGGUUAGUGGAAUUCCCAGUGUAGCGGUGAAAUGCGUAGAGAUUGGGAGGAACACCAGUGGCGAAGGCGACUAACUGGACUGUAACUGACGCUGAGGCGCGAAAGUGUGGGGAGCAAACAGGAUUAGAUACCCUGGUAGUCCACACUGUAAACGAUGAAUGCUAGGUGUAGGGGGUAUCGACCCCUUCUGUGCCGCAGUCAACACAAUAAGCAUUCCGCCUGGGGAGUACGGCCGC
rnacentral:rRNA from 1 species